rnacentral:rRNA from 1 species
UACGUAGGGUGCAGGCGUUAAUCGGAAUUACUGGGCGUAAAGCGUGCGCAGGCGGUCUUUUAAGUCAGAUGUGAAAUCCCCGAGCUUAACUUGGGAACUGCAUUUGGGACUGGAAGGCUAGAGUAUGGCAGAGGGGGGUGGAAUUCCACGUGUAGCAGUGAAAUGCGUAGAGAUGUGGAGGAACACCGAUGGCGAAGGCAGCCCCCUGGGCCUAUACUGACGCUCAUGCACGAAAGCGUGGGGAGCAAACAGG